rnacentral:rRNA from 1 species
GAUGAACGCUGGCGGCGUGCUUAACACAUGCAAGUCGAACGAAGCACUUUAUUACGAUUUCUUCGGAGUGACGAUUUAGUGACUGAGUGGCGGACGGGUGAGUAACGCGUGGGUAACCUGCCUCAUACAGGGGGAUAACAGUUGGAAACGACUGCUAAUACCGCAUAAGCGCACAGUAUCGCAUGAUACAGUGUGAAAAACUCCGGUGGUAUGAGAUGGACCCGCGUCUGAUUAGCUAGUUGGUGGGGUAACGGCCUACCAAGGCGACGAUCAGUAGCCGACCUGAGAGGGUGACCGGCCACAUUGGGACUGAGACACGGCCCAA